UACGAAGGGGGCUAGCGUUGUUCGGAAUUACUGGGCGUAAAGAGCUCGUAGGCGGUUUGUCGCGUCGGCCGUGAAAUCUCCACGCUUAACGUGGAGCGUGCGGUCGAUACGGGCAGACUUGAGUUCGGUAGGGGAGACUGGAAUUCCUGGUGUAGCGGUGGAAUGCGCAGAUAUCAGGAGGAACACCGGUGGCGAAGGCGGGUCUCUGGGCAGUAACUGACGCUGAGGAGCGAAAGCGUGGGGAGCGAACAGG
rnacentral:rRNA from 1 species